rnacentral:rRNA from 1 species
CCCUUAGAUGUCCUGGGCCACACGCGUGCUACACUGACGCAUACAGCGAGCACUUUCCAGUUCCGAGAGGCUACUGGUAAUCAUCAAUAUGCGUCGUGAUGGGGAUAGAUCUUUGGAAUUCUGGAUCUUGAACGAGGAAUGCCUAGUAAUCGCAGGUCAUUAGCCUGCGAUGAUUAAGUCCCUGCCCUUUGUACACACCGCCCGUCGCUACUACCGAUUUCGAGUGGUCAGGUGAAUCUUUCGGACUGUGGGCGCCCUUGAGGUGUUCGCGGAAAGUCAGGUAAAUCUUAUCACUUAGAGGAAGUAAAAGUCGUAACA